GAUGAACGCUGGCGGCGUGCCUAAUACAUGCAAGUCGAGCGAACAGACGAGGAGCUUGCUCCUCUGACGUUAGCGGCGGACGGGUGAGUAACACGUGGAUAACCUACCUAUAAGACUGGGAUAACUUCGGGAAACCGGAGCUAAUACCGGAUAAUAUAUUGAACCGCAUGGUUCAAUAGUGAAAGACGGUUUUGCUGUCACUUAUAGAUGGAUCCGCGCCGCAUUAGCUAGUUGGUAAGGUAACGGCUUACCAAGGCAACGAUGCGUAGCCGACCUGAGAGGGUGAUCGGCCACACUGGAACUGAGACACGGUCCAGACUCCGACGGGAGGCAGCAGUAGGGAAGCGUCCGCAAUGGGCGAAAGCCUGACGGAGCAACGCCGCGUGAGUGAUGAAGGUCUGCGGAUCGUAAAACUCUGUUAUGAGGGAAGAACAAAUGUGGAAGUAACGAUGCACGUCGUGACGGUACCUAAUCAGAAAGCCACGGCUAACUACGUG
rnacentral:rRNA from 1 species